rnacentral:rRNA from 1 species
UACGAAGGGGGCUAGCGUUGUUCGGAUUUACUGGGCGUAAAGCGCACGUAGGCGGAUCGUUAAGUUGGGGGUGAAAUCCCAGGGCUCAACCCUGGAACUGCCUUCAAUACUGGCGAUCUAGAGUCCGGAAGAGGUGAGUGGAACUCCUAGUGUAGAGGUGGAAUUCGUAGAUAUUAGGAAGAACACCAGUGGCGAAGGCGGCUCACUGGUCCGGUACUGACGCUGAGGUGCGAAA